rnacentral:rRNA from 1 species
UACGUAGGGUGCGAGCGUUGUCCGGAAUUACUGGGCGUAAAGAGCUCGUAGGUGGUUUGUCGCGUUGUUCGUGAAAACUCACAGCUCAACUGUGGGCGUGCGGGCGAUACGGGCAGACUGGAGUACUGCAGGGGAGACUGGAAUUCCUGGUGUAGCGGUGGAAUGCGCAGAUAUCAGGAGGAACACCGGUGGCGAAGGCGGGUCUCUGGGAAGUAACUGACGCUGAGGAGCGAAAGCGUGGGGAGCGAACAGG